rnacentral:rRNA from 1 species
CUCCUAACUGGAGGCAGGUGGGGAUGNCGUCAAAUCAUCAUGCCCCUUAUGACCUGGGCUACACACGUGCUACAAUGGGCAGAACAAAGGGCAGGAAGCCGCGAGCUAAGCCAAUCCCACAAAUCUGUUCUCAGUUCGGAUCGCAGUCUGCAACUCGACUGCGUGAAGCUGGAAUCGCUAGUAAUCGCGGAUCANCAUGCCGCGGUGAAUACGUUCCCGGGCCUUGUACACACCGCCCGUCACACCACGAGAGUUUGUAACCCCCGAAGNCGGUGAGGUAACCUUUUGGANCCAGCCNNNGAAGGUGGNACAGA